rnacentral:rRNA from 1 species
GUUAGGCUAACCACUUCUGGUGCAGUCCACUCCCAUGGUGUGACGGGCGGUGUGUACAAGGCCCGGGAACGUAUUCACCGUGCCAUUCUGAUGCACGAUUACUAGCGAUUCCGACUUCACGGAGUCGAGUUGCAGACUCCGAUCCGGACUGAGACCGGCUUUAUGAGAUUAGCUCCCCCUCGCGGGAUKGCAGCCCAUUGUACCGGCCAUUGUAGCACGUGUGUAGCCCUACUCGUAAGGGCCAUGAUGACCUGACGUCGUCCCCACCUUCCUCCGGUUUGUCACCGGCAGUCUCCCUAGAGUUCCCGACCGAAUCGCUGGCAAAUAGGGACAAGGGUUGCGCUCGUUACGGGACUUAACCCAACAUUUCACAACACGAGCUGACGACGGCCAUGCAGCACCUGUCUGAGCGUUCCCGAAGGCACCCAUCCAUCUCUGGAWGGUUCGCUCGAUGUCAAGAGUAGGUAAGGUUCUUCGCGUUGCAUCGAAUUAAACCACAUGCUCCACCGCUUGUGCGGGCCCCCGUCAAUUCAUUUGAGUUUUAACCUUGCGGCCGUACUCCCCAGGCGGUCGACUUAUCGCGUUAACUGCGCCACAAAGGUCUCGAGGACCCCAACGGCUAGUCGACAUCGUUUACGGCGUGGACUACCAGGGUAUCUAAUCCUGUUUGCUACCCACGCUUUCGCACCUCAGCGUCAGUGUCAGUCCAGAAGGCCGCCUUCGCCACUGGUAUUCCUCCCGAUCUCUACGCAUUUCACCGCUACACCGGGAAUUCUACCUUCCUCUCCUGCACUCUAGCCUGACAGUUCCGGAUGCCGUUCCCAGGUUGAGCCCGGGGCUUUCACAACCGGCUUAUCAAGCCGCCUACGCGCGCUUUACGCCCAGUAAUUCCGAUUAACGCUUG